AGCCCUGAGGUGUUUCACAUCAGAUUGCAAAUCUGAAGAAGCGGGUUAGCACCUGCCGGGGCUU
rnacentral:tRNA from 1 species